GCCAUUAAAGGUUUGAGACCGUGCGUGCAUUGGUUAUGGGCGGACGGUUUUUGUUUAGUAAUGGCGAAAUGACUAGUUAACACUGGUGAUGGUGUAUAAGAAAAAUAAUACACUACACACAGUUUAUGUGGUAUGUGUCGUUAACAGGACUUCAAGCACCGACUUUUGAACUCUUUCAAGCAAACGCUUGACCAUCGAUGCCAUUGCGUCGACGAUGUUUAAUAUUUUAUUCAACGAAAGAGGCCUUUGAUGCGGUAGCCCUGAGGAUCGAAUGGGCUGCAAGUGUGAAGUUUGGCUGCGAUGCUCCGGCCAUAACUUUCGAUUGCGU